rnacentral:rRNA from 1 species
UGGGGAAUAUUGGGCAAUGGGCGCAAGCCUGACCCAGCAACGCCGCGUGAAGGAAGAAGGCUUUCGGGUUGUAAACUUCUUUUCUCAGGGACGAAGAAAGUGACGGUACCUGAGGAAUAAGCCACGGCUAACUACGUGCCAGCAGCCGCGGUAAUACGUAGGUGGCAAGCGUUAUCCGGAUUUACUGGGUGUAAAGGGCGUGUAGGCGGGAAAGCAAGUCAGAUGUGAAAACCAUGGGCUCAACCUGUGGCCUGCAUUUGAAACUGUUUUUCUUGAGUACUGGAGAGGCAGACGGAAUUCCUC